rnacentral:rRNA from 1 species
UGCAAGUCGAACGCGAAAGUCACCUUCGGGUGAUGAGUAGAGUGGCAAACGGGUGAGUAACACGUGGGCAACUUACACUUAGGCGGGGGACAACAUCGGGAAACCGGUGCUAAUACCGCAUGAUGUCUUGGGAUCGCAUGUUCCCAAGACCAAAGGUGGGGAUUCUUCGGAACCUGCCGCCUAGGAAUAGGCCCGCGCCUGAUUAGCUUGUUGGUGAGGUAACGGCUCACCAAGGCUCCGAUCAGUAGCCGACCUGAGAGGGUGACCGGCCACACUGGGAUUGAGAUACGGCCCAGACUCCUACGGGGGGCAGCAGUCUAGAAGCAUCGACAAUGGGGGAAACCCUGAUCGUGCGACGCCGCGUGCAGGACGAAGGUCUUCGGAUCGUAAACUGCUUUCGCCAGGGAAGAAUGGUCCAUAGGUUAAUAGCCUGAGGAUUUGACGGUACCUGGUAAAGAAGCUCCGGAUAAGUCCGUGCCAGCAGCCGCGGUAAUACGGGCGGAGCAAGCGUUGUUCGGAUUUAUUGGGUGUAAAGGGUGCGCAGGCGGUCGAUUAAGUCAGAAGUGAAAUGUCUACGGCUCAACCGAGACACUGCUUCUGAUACUGGUUGACUUGAGUGCGGA